UACGGAGGGGGCGAGCGUUAUUCGGAAUUAUUGGGCGUAAAGGGCGCGUAGGCGGCUGGUUAAGUCAAAGGUGAAAUCCCUCGGCUCAACUGAGGAACUGCCUUUGAAACUAGCGAGCUUGAGGCCGGGAGGGGGUAGCGGAAUUCCCAGUGUAGCGGUGAAAUGCGUAGAUAUUGGGAGGAACACCAGUGGCGAAGGCGGCUACCUGGACCGGUUCUGACGCUGAGGCGCGAAAGCGUGGGUAGCAAACAGG
rnacentral:rRNA from 1 species